rnacentral:tRNA from 1 species
AUCAGAUUAGCAAAAUUUAAUGCAGUUGAUUUAGGAUCAGCAGAUAUAGGUUAAUUUCCUUUAUUUGAUA